rnacentral:piRNA from 1 species
GGAGUCAUCAUGCUUUGCUUCCCCAC